CACGAGGCAGCAAAUCCGAACAGGCAAAGGCCUCACUCUCCAGUGCAGUCUGGGAGGACUGAUCAGGGAAGAACAGAUCAGGGUGAAGAACAGAAAGGUGAGCUCUGAUCCUGGAACUUCUUCCCUGCGCUCUGCCAGCUCCCACCUCGCCACCACCCUGGGUUCUGGAACCACGCCAAGCAGGGCAGAAACCGAAGUGCUUUUGGAAGUCCACAGGGAUUCCCACACCCACCACAGCCCAAUUUCAUCUGCCCACAGUUGCUCCCUGAACUCAGUGGCUCUGCCGCAGCAGGGAGAUGGUCUGAAGGACAGGCGUGGGGGCAGAAGAAGACCCCAAGGCAUCUCCCCAAGAUGACCACAGUUGUCCCUGAAGAAGCAGUCACAGCAAGCUCACUUCACAGGAACCAAGCUGUGGGCUGAUCCUACAGACUUGAAAAGACAACUCAAAAAAGGACGGAGGCAGCCGUUAGGAACGGCCCCACUCCACCAGCCGGCCCCGCGGGACGGUUACUCUGUUCCUGAGGUACCCCCCGAGAUUGUCUGUGGGGUCAGAAACAGCUCUGGAGGGGUCUGCAGAAAUUACUUUCCCAAGUCUUUGGGCUGGAAGGAACGAACAGUGCCUGACCAAGGACUUUGAGCAGGAGAGAGAUGGGAGCAGAGAGGAGCCAAGGUCUACUAUUUUCACUUCUGUCAAUUAGAUCAAAGCCCUGCCCAGAAGCUUUGAGCGCCGCUGUCAAGUCCCAUUCCUCCCCUAAACCAUCCAGGUUCCAUCUGCCUUGAAGCCAAAGGAUCUUCUUAGAUUCCUCAAGAAAAAUUCAGGCCCCGAGUUUCUCCACCAGCACUCUCCUCUCCCCGAAGGAGUGGGUGGGCUGCAUUUCUCUUCAUAUUCUAUUCCAUUCCAGACCGUCUUGGACUACCAGCCUGUCCGCCACCCCUCGGGGCCCUCCCUCCUACUCUGCCCUUGCCCGCUGAGGUCCCAAGCUGAGGAGAUGAGCCGAGCAGUAAAAAGAGAGGAGGUUUGGAAAAGCAAUGUCCUCUCAGUCUUUAAUAGGUGGCCCCCCUGGGAACCUGCUGGAAGUGGAAGUUAAUAAGCUGAAGGUGGUCACAACCAAUCUCUGCCACACUCGCACCCUACCCCACCCCAAAUCAUUCCUUUUAAUUAAUAGUGGAAGACCUUUUUAAAAAUGUAACAUGAAUUGGCUAUUUCUUGAGGCAAACAAAAGGUGGCUCUGAAGCGAUAUAUUUGUACUCGUAUAAAUUCAUUAAAAUAGAAAGCUUAUAACCAUCCAGGUUUCACUGACAGCCCCAGUCCAUCUACAUGCAGAAAUGGUCCCUCCAAAGCCCUCUACGACAAUUAUUCUCACAGAUCGUCAUGAUAAACUGUAAGGGAAUAUACUAAGAAAGAGGGAAGAAGAGAGGAGGAGUCCAUUUUUAAUUAGUGGUUGGAAAUAGAGUAAAAAUUAGAGGGCCUUAGGUUUAAAACACAGAUGUGCAUUGUGAUCGUCUGAAGGAAGAGCUGUUGACAGAGAAAACAAGGUGGUGAACUAUGCCCUUGGCCUGUGACAGUUAGGUGAGGGUUGCUCACCGCAGAAGACAGACCGGUAGAGCCCAGCAGGAAAGAGGGUAUCAGGCUGGAAGAAGUGCAGUUUGGCCCUGGCGGAGUGGUGGAGUGGCUGGAGCGACUGCAGGAGGAGGAUAGAUCUGGAAGCAGGUCUGGGCUAUACUUUGGCCUCAGCCAGGGAGCCAGAGAAGGAAGGCUUGGGUUCGAGGGGGGAAAUCAUUCUCCCAAAUUGCUUUCUCAGAAGCGCCAAUUCAGAUCACCUGAAGACAGGGUCUGGGCCCCAUUACAGCAUGGUUCCCAAAUGGGAGUGUGCUUGGAAGCCUUGGUGAUUAAAGGGUGCUGACUAAAAGAGUCAAACUCUGUAAAAUAUUUGAAGAGAUUUAUUCUGAGCCAAAUAUGAGUGACCAUGGCCCAUGACACAGCCCUCAGGAGACCCUGAGAACAUGUGUUCAAGGUGGUCGGGGUACAGCUUGGUUUUAUAUGUUUUAGGAAGGCAUGAGACUCAAUCAAAGACAUUUUAAAAAUACAUUGGUUUGGUUCAGAAAGGUGAGACAACUCAAAGUGGGGGCUUCCAGGCUAUAGGUAAAUUUAAACAUUUUCUGACUGACAAUUGGUUGGGUUUAUCUGGAGACCUGGGAUUAAUGGAAAGGAAGGUUCAUGUUAAGAUACAGAACUGUGGGGACCAAGUUUUAUUGUGCAGAGGAAUCUCUCAGAUAGCAGACUUCAGAGAGAGAGAGAGCAGGUUGUAAAAUGUUUCUUAUCGGACCUAAAAGGGUACCUGGCUCUUAGUUGAUUAUCUCCUGGAUCUGGGAAGGAAGGAAGGAAAACAAAGGGGAAAGGAAAUAUUUCCUAUAGAAUAUGGAUUUUUCCCACAAGAGACUUUGCAGGACAAUUUCGAGAUAUGGCAAGGAGAUUUAUUUUGGGGUAAAACAUUUUGAUUUUCUUCCUUGUUAUGCCACAGUCAGAUUGGAAAGUCAGUCAUGAUAUACAGGGUCAGAUAAAAUCCGUCUGAUGAGAAUGUAUGGUUGGUAGGGCAUGACUCCCCAGACCCCUUAGAUAGGAAUCUGGGCAAGAUAAAAAAUCGGAGCUUAGUCCUCAAGGGAAGGGGCAGCAGCGCUGUUGGCGGGCUCACCAAGCAUCAGUACUGGAUCACCAGGCUUGGGAGAGUAGGGGUGUCAAGGCCCCAAGAGCAGGGAGGGCCUUGGCCCCACUAGGGGGGCAUCAGAAAGCAGGGAGCACUUGUAGUUCACCAUGAUUCCCCUCAAAGCCCUGGGCCAGCCUCCUGCAGGGAAGGCGGGCAGGAAGUCUUCCCCAUAGGGGCAGGCUUGCUUUUUUGGCCAGCCAUCCUCUUCAUAUGAAAAACAGCAUCUUGUCAUUUCUAGAUGUUUCUACUUUGGUUGACUCUUUAAUUUUUCUGCAGUUAAAAGCCUUAAAACAGCAAGGAAGCAGGGGACAGGAGGGGAGCCCAGAUCUCUCCCAAAGAAAAGGAGAAAGACUGAAUCCUUGAGGCCUGCCGUACAAAGGAGUGGUGGGUUGGAGGAGGGUAGGCAGAGACUAGGGUGGUCUGGGACUUUAAGUACAAGGCCCCGUGGAUUUCAUUGGGGGGCAAGCCAUGUGCAACAGGGAAGCUCAGGAACCGGGGGGUUUCGCACAGAGGUCUGGUGCUGUGAGGUACAGGGAAAGAAUUAGUGGAUCUGGACCAGUGGAACAUUGGUUUAGUGUAAUCUCUGAUUUGUGUUGAGUGAAUUUGAGUAUAGUCCAACCACCACCCCCCUACCCCAACUAAACCAUGUGCCCCUCAGGAGCUGGGACUCUUCUAUUUUCUAUUCCUUAUAGCAGGCUCAGUGCCUGACACACUACGUUGAAUUUUAUUUUAAACAUUUCAUUUACAUUAAAUGGUAUAUUUGCAAGUUCGGUUGGCUGUGAUAGGUGUCCCUGGCCACGUCAGUGGAGCACCCAGGCCUCAAGCAGCAUGCUGGGGAAGGGAAAACCCCCCAUUCUGGUGAUGGAGGUGGCCAUGACCAUGUCUGGUUUUCAAAGGCAGCUUUGUAAGAACAGAAACCAGCAGCUCCCCAACAUCUGGCCCUAUCUGCUGUGCAAACCACAGGGACCAGGACCUUUCCGGGGUGCCAGUGGCAUCCUCUGGAACCAGCUUCUCAGUGGAAUUUCAGAUGCUAUUCCUGGUCAAUUGCCUUUGCUAUGUGCUAUCCUUUAAUAAAUUCUGUUUCUCCUCAU
rnacentral:lncRNA from 1 species